rnacentral:rRNA from 1 species
GACGAACGCUGGCGGCGUGCUUAACACAUGCAAGUCGAACGGACAGGCCCUGCUUUUGUUGGUUGCUCGAGAGGCGAACGGGUGUGUAACACGUGAGUAACCUGCCCUUGACUUUGGGAUAACUUCAGGAAACUGGGGCUAAUACCGGAUAGGAGCUCCUGCUGCGUGUUGGGGGUUGGAAAGUUUCGGCGGUUGGGGAUGGACUCGCGGCUUAUGAGCUUGUUGGUGUGGUAGUGGCUUCCCACGGCUGUGAAGGGUAGCCGGCGUGAGAGGGUGACCGGCGUCAUUGGGCCUACGAUAGGGACCAGUCUGCUACGGGCGGCAGUAGUCGAGAACAUGGCAGAACGGGCGGAAGCGUGAUGCGGAGACGUCGCGUUCGUGAUACUGUCUUAUGAGUUGUAAACCGCUGUCGCCGGUGACGAAGCGGUAUUGACGGUAACGGGUCAAGAAGCACCGGCUAACUACGUG